rnacentral:rRNA from 1 species
GACGUGGAAGACUAGUGUUAUUCAUCUUUAAUAGGUUUAAAGGGUACCUAGACGGUAUUUCUAGCCAAAAAAAAGGUACAGAUUUACUAGAGUUUUAUGUGAGAAGGUGAGAAUUUAAGGUGUAGAGAUGAAAUUUUUUAAUACUUUAAAGACUGAUAACAGCGAAAGCAACCUUCUAUGUACUAACUGACGUUGAGGGACGAAGGCCUGGGUAGCGAACAGG